GGGGAGGUGGUGAAACGGUAGACAUACACACUAUUGCCGACGUUCUUUCUUAUCCACAAAAAAAACGCCGAGGGCGACAGGUGACGCAGAUAGGCUGCGUGUGCGGGUUCGAUUCCCGCCCUCUCCA
rnacentral:tRNA from 2 species